rnacentral:rRNA from 1 species
UACGUAGGGGGCUAGCGUUGUUCGGAAUUACUGGGCGUAAAGCGCACGUAGGCGGUUAUUUAAGUCAGGGGUGAAAUCCCGGGGCUCAACCCCGGAACUGCCUUUGAUACUGGGUAUCUCGAGUCCGAGAGAGGUGAGUGGAAUUCCGAGUGUAGAGGUGAAAUUCGUAGAUAUUCGGAGGAACACCAGUGGCGAAGGCGGCUCACUGGCUCGGUACUGACGCUGAGGUGCGAAAGUGUGGGGAGCAAACAGG